rnacentral:misc_RNA from 1 species
UCCGUCUCCAUGGCCACAUAAUGAGGUAGACUCUAGCCGCUUCCUGACACACCCGCCUGAUGCAUCUUUUAGAAUAUGCCAGUCCCUUGGGGACUUGGGUUCAUACCCCGGUAAACAAUCACAUUCAAAUCUUCGACUAAGAAAGUCAGAAUCACAUAUUCCAUAGGUACCACAAUGCCCAUAUGGAUCACACGGAGAUUUUGGU